rnacentral:rRNA from 1 species
UACGUAGGGUGCGAGCGUUAAUCGGAAUUACUGGGCGUAAAGCGUGCGCAGGCGGUUCGCCAAGUCAGGUGUGAAAUCCCCGGGCUUAACCUGGGAAUUGCGCUUGAAACUAGCGGGCUUGAGUGUGGCAGAGGGGGGUGGAAUUCCACGUGUAGCAGUGAAAUGCGUAGAGAUGUGGAGGAACACCGAUGGCGUAGGCAGCCCCCUGGGUCAACACUGACGCUCAUGCACGAAAGCGUGGGGAGCAAACAGG